GAGAUAAAAACCAAAAGAAAAGCUUCUAACUUAUUCUUAUAGCAGUGAAAAUCUGUUAAUAUCUCU
rnacentral:tRNA from 1 species